UACAGAGGUAUCAAGCGUUGUUCGGAUUCAUUGGGCGUAAAGGGUGUGUAGGUGGCGCGCUAAGUCGGGUGUGAAAUUUCGGAGCUUAACUCCGAAACUGCAUUCGAUACUGGCGUGCUUGAGGACUGGAGAGGAGACUGGAAUUUACGGUGUAGCAGUGAAAUGCGUAGAUAUCGUAAGGAAGACCAGUGGCGAAGGCGGGUCUCUGGACAGUUCCUGACACUGAGACACGAAGGCCAGGGGAGCAAACGGG
rnacentral:rRNA from 1 species